rnacentral:lncRNA from 1 species
CCGUGUAUGGUUAAAAAACCAACGACAACAAUAAUAAUAAUAAUAUGAUAAAAUUUUACUUGUGGAAUCUAGGGAAGUUAGUGCGUAUGCAGACUUUACCCAUAUUCCAAAGGGUAAAUAGUGAAACCUGAAAUAGAUCGUUGCCCUUCGAUUUAACUCAAACCUGAAAUAGAUUGUUUGGUGUCCUAAGCUCAAAUAGUCAUAUGGUACAAAUUAUUUGGUGUACCUUUACAAAAUCGAGGCUUCGAAUUUCAUGUUUGUCUUGUUACUUUUAUAAGGUAAUUCAAGUUAAUAUCAAGUCGCCCCAUUGGUCUCAUGCAUGGGCGGUGUUAGGAGUGUAAGGGAGUAUGGAUAAAUAUCAUUCGUCAUAAAAUUAUAUUAUAGAAGUAUAGCUCGGUGAAUAAAGCAUCUCGCAUUCAUUAAGGGCUUGAGAAAGAGCCUCACCCCUAAGAAUAUGACGAAGACGGUCUCCUUAUGCUUUAAUCCGAUGCUAAAUUGGUGUUUUGAUGUUCUUUUGAGCAUUUCGAAGAUUGAGAGAAGUUUGAAUGAUAUUAUGGGAUAUGAUGGUAGGUUUGGUUGAGGUCCCGAGGAUCUCAGGUAUGUUUCGGAUGCUCAAUAGGUCAUUUUUUAGAACUUAGAAAAUUACAGAAAAUGUUGUAGCAGCCAGUUCUAGUUUCCCGCUUCACGUUCACAAGUGGGGUCUCGUGUUCGCGAAGAGGAGCUGGGGCUGGUGAGGAAUUUGUGCUUCGUAUUCGCGAAGUGUCUCCCGCGUUCGCGAAGCUGGAAGUUCUAUACCUACGCGUUCGUGAUUUCCCGCGUUCGCAUAGGAGGAAGAAAUUUUGAAUCGCGUUCGUGUCUCAUACAUCGCGUUCGCAAUAGAGAAAUUUGGGCCCAAGUGAAAUUGUGCUUCGCAAACACGAUGGGCCUUCGCAUUCGCGAAGAAGGAAGACCAGGGUAGUUUUUAAAUAGCCAUCCGCGACCCUUUUUCAUUUUCUCACCAUUUUUGAACGAGAUUGAAGCAUUUGAGGUUGAUUAUUGAGGAAACCACAGGGCAAUAACUUGUAAAUAAUAUUUUAACUUCACAAAUAAUUUAUAUGUGAUUAAAGGCCUCAUUAGUGGUGAAAAGUUUGGAAAAAAUGGGUAAUUAGGGCUUGAGAUUAAGAGACCUUAAAAUGGGUAUUUAAGGGGUCAAUUGAACUUCAAUUUCAGUGUUCUUGUUACGUAUAGACUCGUGCGAGUAUGAGGAUUAUGAAAAUAUAAAUUUGAAGUUUGGAGAUACAUCUUCUUCUUUUUUUGCUUUUGGUCUUUUAACCAAUGUCCAUAUUAGGACCUCAACUACUGUUGAUUGGGCCCGUGUAUAGUUAAAAAAUAAUGACAACAAUAAUAAUAAUAUGGUAAAAUUUUACUUGUGGGAUCUAUGGAAGGUAAUGCAUAUGCAGACUUUAUCCAUAUUCCGAAGGGUAGAUAGUCCGUUUUUAGAAGACCCUGGCUCAAAAAAACAAAAGAGACAAAAGGAGACAAUAUUAGUAUCAUCAUAGAAAUCAUAGGAAAAAUAGGAACAACAUGAAAUCUAGAAGAAAGCUGCAAAGUAAAGCAUAAUUGAUAGCUAGUAAAUAGGUCAUGAAUUGAAAAGCGUAAUAGUAAGACACAACGUUAACUUUGCCACUAUCUGUCUUAGAACCCUGCCAGCCUAGUCUCACAAAAAUACGAAUUAAGGCAAGAAUCAACUACCUUCUAACCUAGAACUCAAAUACAUAUGUAUAGUUAAAAGUACACCUUAUAAUAAUAUGCUCAUGACUUGAAAUCGAGAUUUCUUUUUAAAGGUGUAGGAAUGAUAUUAAUUGCACUACAAUUCGUGAUGGUUUAAAAGUAUCCCAACGUUGUAGCAAAAAUAGAACUUAUGCUAAUGAUAAAUGUUGUUUUAGGCACACAACGACACAAGAAGAGGGUUAGCUGGAUAGUUAACACUUGAAAAUUCUUCCGAAGUUUUUCAAAAAUUUACUUGACCUAUAGAUUGUUUGGUGUCCUAAGCUCAAAGAGUCAUAUGGUACAAAUUAUUUGGUGUACCUUGAUAAAAUCGAGGCUUCAAAUUUCAUGUUUGUCUUGUUACUUUAUAAGGUAAUUCAAGUUAAUAUCAAGUCGCCCCAUUGGUCUCAUGCAUGGGCGGUGUUAGGAGUGUAAGGGAGUAUGGAUAAAUAUCAUUCGUCAUAAAAUUAUAUUAUAGAAGUAUAGCUCGGUGAAUAAAGCAUCUCGCAUUCAUUAAGGGCUUGAGAAAGAGC